ACCUGCCUUCGAGUGGGGGAUAACGUUCCGAAAGGAACGCUAAUACCGCAUGACAUCCUGCGUUUGGAGACGCGGACAUCAAAGCUGGGGAUCGCAAGACCUGGCGCUCGGAGAGGGGCCCGCGGCUGAUUAGCUAGUUGGUGGGGUAAUGGCUCACCAAGGCGACGAUCAGUAUCCGGCCUGAGAGGGCGGACGGACACACUGGGACUGAGACACGGCCCAG
rnacentral:rRNA from 1 species